GGCACCGUCGCCAAGUGGUAAGGCCGAGGUCUGCAAAACCUCUACCCCCGGUUCGAAUCCGGGCGGUGCCU
rnacentral:tRNA from 1 species